rnacentral:rRNA from 1 species
CGGCGAGUGAAGCGGUAAAAGCUCAAAUUUGAAAUCUGGCUCUCUUAGGGUCCGAGUUGUAAUUUGUAGAAGAUGCUUCGGGUGUGGUUCCGGUCUAAGUUCCUUGGAACAGGACGUCAUAGAGGGUGAGAAUCCCGUAUGUGAUUGGAUACCUACGCUCAUGUGAAGCUCUUUCGACGAGUCGAGUUGUUUGGGAAUGCAGCUCAAAAUGGGUGGUAUAUUUCAUCUAAAGCUAAAUAUUGGCCAGAGACCGAUAGCGCACAAGUAGAGUGAUCGAAAGAUGAAAAGCACUUUGGAAAGAGAGUUAAACAGUACGUGAAAUUGUUGAAAGGGAAGCGCUUGCAAUCAGACUUGGACUUGGUGUUCAGCAGGGCCUCGUGCCCUGUGUAUUUCACCAAGUACAGGCCAGCAUCAGUUUGGGUGGUUAGAUAAAGGCUUAGAGAAUGUGGCCCUCUUCGGGGGGUGUUAUAGCUCUAGGUGCAAUGUAGCCUACCUGGACUGAGGACCGCGCUUCGGCUAGGAUGCUGGCGUAAUGGUUGUAAGCGACCCGUCUUGAAACACGGACCAAGGAGUGUACCUAAUAUGCGAGUGUUUGGGUGUUAAACCCAUACGCGUAAUGAAAGUGAACGGAGGUGAGAACCCUUAAGGGUGCAUCAUCGACCGAUCCUGAUGUCUUCGGAUGGAUUUGAGUAAGAGCAUAUUGGGUGCUACCCGAAAGAUGGUGAUCUAUACGUGAAUAGGGUGAAGCCAGAGGAAACUCUGGUGGAGGCUCGCAGCGGUUCUGACGUGCAAAUCGAUCGUCAAAUUUGCGUAUAGGGGCGAAAGACUAAUC